CUCGUGGUGCACCGUUUUUUUAAGCCCGUCGGAAACGCGCAGUAUUCGGGUGGGAGUGACCCGAUUUUCCAGGUGCCGUCCGUCACCCGUUUCUUUGACUCAGACAGGGAACUCCCUGACCCCUUGCGCUUCCCAAGUGAGGCAAUGCCUCGCCCUGCUUGGGCUCGCGCAUGGUGCGCUCACCCACUGACCUGCACCCACUGUCUGGCACUCCCUAGUGAGAUGAACCCGGUACCUCAGAUGGAAAUGCUGAAAUCACCCGUCUUCUUCGUUGCUCACGCUGGGAGCUGUAGACAGGAGCUGUUCAUAUUCGGCCAUCUUGGCUCCUCCCCGCACCAAUAGGUGACGGAAGGUGAGGAGAGAGCACUGAGACCAAGCAAAUGGAGGCACUCAGGGAAUGAGAGGCUAAAGAUGAGAAGUGUCUCGCUCUGUCGACUAGGCUGGAGUGCAGUGGCAGCAUGAUCUCAGCUCACUGCAGACUUGUCCUCCCAGGCUCAGGUGAUCCUCCCACAUCAGCCUCCUGAGUUACUGGGACUACGGACGGGCACCACCAUGCACGGCUUACCACUGGUCUUUAUACUAUGCCCUGGAUGCCUCUGGCUUCUGCAGACAUGAUAUUGAGCUGAGGGACAAAGUUUUGGGGAUCCUCAUGCUUACUUGAUCCAGAACUGCUGUCCUUUUAUCUGCUUUACAUACUGGAAUUUUACAGAUUUUGUUAGCAUUUUUGGAAAUUAUUCUCUUUGCCCAAAUAAGU
rnacentral:lncRNA from 1 species